CUGUGAUGUCACGGCGUGGGCGCCUGCUCCUGCGUUCUGAUUGGCUGCUGAGGAUCUUCUGCUCUCAGUUUCCACAGGAUGCGGUCGCUCGAGCGUCACAGGCGAGGGCGGCUGCGGCUCAAAGCCUCUGGGACAGGAAGCCGGCGGGGCGGGGCCGGCAAACCGGGCCAGGCGCCCCGAUCAGAACCGGAGCGGGUCACACACUUCCUGCCGCCGCCAACAUGGUGAGAGCGCAGCAGGCGAACGAUCAGCAGCUGCAGAAACAUCCAGGAAACCUUCAGAGCCACAGUGGAGCAGCAGAGAACCUUCAGAGCUGAGUUUCACCAGUCAGUGACUGAACCCAAGACGAUUCACUGAUCUGGUUUCUGUAAAGGUCAACAGAAACACUUUUCAGCCUCCUUCAGACUGGAAACAACAAACCAGCAGCAACAAAACACAGAAGUGUCUGGAUCACCAGUGGAAUCUGAAGGUGGCUGCUAGGACUCCAGCUUCCUGCAGGUGGCGUCCUUCAUACUGGCUGUUUUAUUGGACAACAGCGCCAUCAAGUGGAUGUUUAAAGAACUGUUCAGUGUUUCUGUUCUCUGCUUGUAUUUGAUGUAUUUAUGUUUUUCUAAUAACCAGAAUGUUACUGGAGGUGAAGUGAUGAUAAAGAUCCUCAGUAAAAACUUCCAGUUUAUCCACCAACACAGAUGUUUCCAACCAACUCCCUCAGGAAACUCCUGCCCAGCAGGGGGCGCUGUAGAAACCAUGACUGGAAAAGAGAAGUUGUUACUGAUGUGUCUGAUUUAGAUUUCUCUAAUAAACUUUUAUCACCGUUUUAGGAUGAA